rnacentral:tRNA from 1 species
GUCUUCGUAGUGUAACGGUUAAAACACUCGGCGCGUAUUCGAGAAGUCCAGGUUCGAGUCCUGGAGAGGGCA